UAGGGAAUCUUCGGCAAUGGGGGCAACCCUGACCGAGCAACGCCGCGUGAGUGAAGAAGGUUUUCGGAUCGUAAAGCUCUGUUGUAAGAGAAGAACGUGUGUGAGAGUGGAAAGUUCACACAGUGACGGUAACUUACCAGAAAGGGACGGCCAACUACGUGCCAG
rnacentral:rRNA from 1 species